UACGGAGGGUGCGAGCGUUGUCCGGAAUCACUGGGCGUAAAGGGCGCGUAGGCGGCCUGAUAAGUAGGGGGUGAAAUCCUGCGGCUUAACCGCAGGGCUGCCUUCUAAACUGUCAGGCUAGAGCACAGUAGAGGCAGGUGGAAUUCCCGGUGUAGCGGUGGAAUGCGUAGAGAUCGGGCGGAACACCAGCGGCGAAGGCGGCAUCCUGGCCCGUACCUGACGCUGAGGCGCGAGAGCGUGGGGAGCAAACCGG
rnacentral:rRNA from 1 species